GCCAUAACGUAUUGAAAUACCGAUUCUCGUACGAUCACCGAAGUUAAGCAACAUCAAGCCUGGUCAGUACCUAGAUGGGUGACUGCUUGGGAAUACCAGGUGCUGUAAG